UGAUACAGUAAAUUUCUUCAUCUUCAAAUUGACAUAGUCAAUUAUGAUUUUGUAGUUUCUAAAAUUAGUAUAAAAAUAUGCAAAUGGCUGAUCACGUUAAUUUCGUUGACUUUGCUCUAUUUUUUGACAAGUUUAAUAACUCAAACUAUUUUUAUCUUUUCUAUUGUGUAUAUAUAUUAUAAGCGUUAGGAACAAAUGUUUUUAACAAAAACACAAAUCAUUGUUUAUGCUAUCUCUUAUAAGAUAUUGAACCAUGAAGUCUCCUAUUUUAUUCAUUGUUUCUUGUGUUGUUUUGAUGCUCGUUUUGAGUUAUCCUGAAGAAGCAAAAGCUGCUUCUAACAGGUGUCAGCAGAGAAACUUUUUUCCUGGGAAAUGUGGAAAUGAUGGAAUACAAAGUUGCCUCAGGGAUUUCAAGAAAAAGACCAAGAAAAGCCACAUUAUUGAUCAAUGUAGUAAAUGUGAGAACCACAAGUCCCCUAGUGGUUUAGAACAACGUCUAUGCCAUUGCAGUUACCCUUCCGCUUCUCCUUGCAUAUGAAUUCAUACAUGGAUCAAUUAUGGCAUCCAAUUUAAAAGGAUAUAUUUUAAUUUUGUUUUCUUAAUAAUAUUUAUAGAUGAAUAAAUUUUAUAAAGAUUUUAAUAGAAAAUUAUAUUUGUUGGAAAUUUUUAGUUAUGAUACUUUGACAGCAUUAUGUUUGGAUCUAAAAAGUUUUUUAAAAGAUAAUUUUCAUUUAAUCAUAUGAUUGGUGAUGGUUAGUUGAUGGAACUAAAAUUUUUACGAGAAUCAAUACCAGAAGAAGCUAGUAAUAACCAUAUAGAAGUAGUUAAUUUAUUUAAAAAUUAGAGAUUGUUAUCAAAAUACAUAAAUGGCGUAUGGCAUAUUGUUUACUAUUCUAAUAUUGAUCUCUACAACUGAAAGAAGCUUUUUAAAAUUGAAACUGAUAAAUUAUAUGUAGUCUAAUCAAUGUUCUCUCCAGAGCACCUUUUACCUCACCUUUUAAAAUGAUUGACAUGUAAAAAUCCAAUCUGCUUAUUUUUAAAAUGAUUGACAUGUAAAAAUCUUGAAGAAGCAAUCUGCUUAUCAACACGUCAAUUCUUAUUCAAAUCGCAUCUCCGACUCCUCCUCCACUGUCUCCUCCUCUCCACGCUUCUCAAGACGACGCCAUGAUCGAGCUGAAAGAUAGGGGACGAGGAACAAGUAAGGAGAAGAAAAGAAGCACAAGUAGUACAAAGAAGCGAGGACAUAGGAGUAAGAGCAGCGACAUUAGUGCUUCUGGGGAAGAACGUAGCAGGUCAAAGAGCAGGAGGCGGAAGAAGCUGUCAGGCGAUGGUUCUGGCACUGAUCUGAAGGCGAAACUUGAAGAAUCUGUUAAGGAGCCUGAGCUUGACGAAGAGGAGAUGAAUAAGUUCUAAGAGAUGGUUAAUGAAUCAAAGAAGAAAUCUUUAGCUCCUGAAGAUGAAGAAGAAGAAGCUGAGGUGGGCCCAAUGCCGUUACCUAAAGCUGAAGGACACAUCAGUUACGGUGGUGCGUUAAGACCCGGUGAAGGACACGCUAUAUCACAGUACGUUCAGCAAGGGAAACAUAUCCCACGUAGAGGAGAAGUGGUUCUUAACGCUGAUGAGAUUCAGAGGUUUGAGGAUCUCGGGUAUGUCAUCAUCAAAGGAUGAAUGCUAUUCGUAUCAGGAAGGAGAACCAGGUUUACAGUGCUGAAGACAAACGUGCGUUGGCUAUGUUUAACUACGAGGAGAAGGCUAAGGUGAUGUCUGAUCUUUCGAGGCUGGUGCAGCGCCAUAUGGGAGAUGAGUUGGGUCCGAAUCAUGACCCUUUUGGUGCUGGAAAGGCUGAUGGAGCUGACGACCGAAUGGGGGGACAUACAGGUCUGCUUUUGAUGCUUCAUACUACUUCUUUGUCUUUCAGAUAUCUUUGGUUAUGUUUUUUUUACAAACGUAUGUUUCUUCAUCGUCUUUGUGUGUAGUUUGUGACCGUGUUGUAGAGACGUUUUGCUAUCUUGUUUUGGGUUUUAAUAUCGAAGGAGAUAUAAACCUGUAAUUAGGUUUUGCUUAUUGCGGCACUUAUCGUUCA